rnacentral:rRNA from 1 species
UGCCAGACUCCUACGGGAGGCAGCAGUGGGGAAUAUUGGGCAAUGGGCGCAAGCCUGACCCAGCAACGCCGCGUGAAGGAAGAAGGCUUUCGGGUUGUAAACUUCUUUUGUCAGGGACGAAGCAAGUGACGGUACCUGACGAAUAAGCCACGGCUAACUACGUGCCAGCAGCCGCGGUAAUACGUAGGUGGCAAGCGUUAUCCGGAUUUAUUGGGUGUAAAGGGCGUGUAGGCGGGAAUGCAAGUCAGAUGUGAAAACUACGGGCUUAACUUGUAGACUGCAGUUGAAACUGGUUUUCUUGAGUGAAGUAGAGGUUGGCGGAAUUCCGAGUGUAGCGGUGAAAUGCGUAGAUAUUCGGAGGAACACCGGUGGCGAAGGCGGCCAACUGGGCUUUAACUGACGCUGAGGCUCGAAAGUGUGGGGAGCAAACAGGAUUAGAUACCCCGGUAGU